CSCCCGCCGCGCGCGGCGGGCGGGGCGGGGGCACGGGGGGGUGAARAAGUAUUUCGGUAUGUAAAGCUCUAUCMGCAGGGAAGAAAGGCCUCSAAAGAGGAGAUGACGGUACCUGAGUAAGAASCCCCGGCUAACUACGUGCCAGCAGCCGCGGUAAUACGUAGGGGGCAAGCGUUAUCCGGAUUUACUGGGUGUAAAGGGAGCGUARACGGUGUAUCAAGUCUGAAGUGAAACCCCMCGGCUCAACCGUGGGCUUGCUUUGGAAAYUGGUARAYUAGAGUACUGGAGAGGUAAGCGGAAUUCCUGGUGUAGUAGUGAAAUGCGUARAUAUCASGAAGAACAUCAGUGGCGAAGGCGGCUUACUGGACMGCAACUGACGUUGAGGCUCGAAGGCGUGGGGAGCAAACAGGAUUAGAUACCCUGGUAGUCCACGCASUAAACGAUGAAUACUAGGUGUUGG
rnacentral:rRNA from 1 species